rnacentral:rRNA from 1 species
GACGAACGCUGGCGGCGUGCUUAACACAUGCAAGUCGAACGGAAAGGCCCUGCUUUUGUGGGGUGCUCGAGUGGCGAACGGGUGAGUAACACGUGAGUAACCUGCCCUUGACUUUGGGAUAACUUCAGGAAACUGGGGCUAAUACCGGAUAGGAGCUCUUGCUGCACGGUGGGGGUUGGAAAGAGUCGGCGGUGGGGGAUGGACUCGCGGCUUAUCAGCUUGUUGGGGGGGUAGUGGCGUACGAAGGUUUUGACGGGUAGCCGGCAUGAGAGCGUGACCGGGCACAUUGGUACUGAGAUAGGGCCCAGAAUCCUAUCGGACGCAGCAGUGGGGAAUAUUGCACAGUGGGCGGAAGCCUGAUGCAGCAGCGCCGCGUGCGGGAUGCCGGCCUUCGGGUUGUAAACCGCUUUCGCCGGUGACGAAGCGUGAGUGACGGUAAUGAGUAAAGAAGCACCGGCUAACUACGUG